GUGGGGAAUAUUGCGCAAUGGGGGAAACCCUGACGCAGCAACGCCGCGUGAGUGAUGAAGGCUUUCGAGUCGUAAAACUCUGUCUUUGGGGACGAAUAAUGACGGUACCCAAGGAGGAAGCCCCGGCUAACUACGUGCCAGCAGCCGCGGUAAUACGUAGGGGGCAAGCGUUGUCCGGAAUCACUGGGCGUAAAGGGCGCGUAGGCGGUUUGUUAAGUCAGGUGUGAAAGUUUUCAGCUUAACUGGAAAAGUGCACUUGAAACUAACUUACUUGAGUACUGGAGAGGUAAGCGGAAUUCCUAGUGUAGCGGUGAAAUGCGUAGAUAUUAGGAAGAACACCGGUGGCGAAGGCGGCUUACUGGACAGAGACUGACGCUGAGGCGCGAAAGCGUGGGGAGCGAACAGGAUUAGAAACCCGUGUAGUCC
rnacentral:rRNA from 1 species